rnacentral:rRNA from 1 species
UACGUAGGGGGCAAGCGUUGUCCGGAUUCAUUGGGCGUAAAGAGCGUGUAGGCGGCCAGGUAGGUCGGUUGUGAAAACUGGAGGCUCAACCUUCAGAGGUCGACCGAAACCAUCUGGCUAGAGUCCGGUAGGGGAGCGUGGAAUUCCUGGUGUAGCGGUGAAAUGCGCAGAUAUCAGGAGGAACACCAGCGGCGAAGGCGGCGCUCUGGGCCGGUACUGACACUGAGGAGCGAAAGCGUGGGUAGCAAACAGG